rnacentral:snRNA from 1 species
UAGCGGUUAGGGUUUAGAUUUUG